rnacentral:rRNA from 1 species
AGGAUUAACGCUGGCGGCGUGCCUAACACAUGCAAGUCGAACGAGGGGGCAACCCCUAGUGGCAGACGGGUGAGUAACACGUGGUCAACCUACCGCUUUGUGGGGGAUAACCAGCCGAAAGGUUGGCUAAUACCGCAUACGUCGGGGCCGGCAUCGGCCUUUGAUAAAAGGAGCAAUCCGCAAGGUGACGGGACCGCGUCCCAUUAGCUAGUUGGUGGGGUAAUGGCCCACCAAGGCUCCGAUGGGUAGCUGGUUUGAGAGAGCGACCAGCCACACUGGAACUGAGAAACGGUCCAGACUCCUACGGGAGGCAGCAGUGAGGAAUUUUCCGCAAUGGGCGAAAAGCCUGACGGAGCGACGCCGCGUGUGGGAAGAAGGCCUUCGGGUCGUAAACCACUGUCGAAGGGGAAGAUAUUGACGGUACCCUUGGAGGAAGCCCCGGCUAACUACGCGCCAGCAGCCGC